rnacentral:lncRNA from 1 species
GCGGAUCACUGACCCCAGCUGGCACUGUCCAGCUGUAUCUGCAGGCCGGUCCAGGAACCAGCUGGUUACCUUUUCUAUUCCAGGGCCUUAAGCGCAGUCUCUGGACAUGGCUCCUCGCCCAGCGGGCCUUUCCAUCCUGGUGCCCGCGCUUGGCUCAUAGGUGCUUUACUCACGGGAACAGCCAGUUUAUUCUCACCCUGAGGCUGACAAACACCAAGUGAUCACGUAGGUGACAACAAGGAUGAGGUGCCGGAGUCCCUUCCCCGAGGCCCGGCAGACGGCGCUUCCUGCUGGACAGUUCCGUCACGCUCCCCCGCAACGGCCUCCCUCAGCUUGAAAAGCCAGCCUGGCCGUUGCCAUGACCCCAGCAGCGGGGCUAUAGCUGGGAAAAAGAACAGAACAGGGGCCCCAUUAGGUCUUCUGGCUGACCCUGAACCAAAGGGGUUAAAACUUUACUAAAAAAAUUCUCCUGGAAAGCAGUUCAGGGACAGGGCAGAGAAAGAGAAAAACCAGAAGGCAAAGACACAGGACAGCGCAGGUGGCACCAGGAGCUUGCCGGAGAGCGGAUCAACUCAUAUGACAUCCCAGACUGAGGACAGCGUUACAGGACAGCUCUUUGCAUCACAUGCUCUUAUUUUCCCAGUCAAAGAGUUGGAUGGGACAACUGCAGAAUGUAGGGGUUCAAAGUUUAUUCAAGGCAAAAGCCAAGAAAGAAGUGCUCUAAAGAUACGGGAGUAAGAAGAGAAAAUACGUC